rnacentral:rRNA from 1 species
UGGCGGACGGGUGAGUAACGCGUGGGUAACCUGCCCUGUACAGGGGGACAACAGUUAGAAAUGACUGCUAAUACCGCAUAAGCGCACAGGACCGCAUGGUCCGGUGUGAAAAACUCCGGUGGUACAGGAUGGACCCGCGUCUGAUUAGGUAGUUGGCGGGGUAACGGCCCACCAAGCCGACGAUCAGUAGCCGACCUGAGAGGGUGGACGGCCACACUGGGACUGAGACACGGCCCAGACUCCUACGGGAGGCAGCAG